rnacentral:rRNA from 1 species
AGUGAACGCUGGCGGCAGGCCUAACACAUGCAAGUCGAACGGCAGCACAAGAGAGCUUGCUCUCUGGGUGGCGAGUGGCGGACGGGUGAGGAAUGCAUCGGAAUCUGCCCAUUUGUGGGGGAUAACCUCGGGAAACCGGGACUAAUACCGCAUACGACCUACGGGUGAAAGCAGGGGAUCUGCGGACCUUGCGCAGAUGGAUGAGCCGAUGCCGGAUUAGCUAGUUGGAGGGGUAAAGGCCCACCAAGGCGACGAUCCGUAGCUGGUCUGAGAGGAUGAUCAGCCACACUGGGACUGAGACACGGCCCAGACUCCUACGGGAGGCAGCAGUGGGGAAUAUUGGACAAUGGGCGCAAGCCUGAUCCAGCCAUGCCGCGUGUGUGAAGAAGGCCUUCGGGUUGUAAAGCACUUUUGUUGGGAAAGAAAAGCAGCCGGUUAAUACCCGGUUGUCAUGACGGUACCCAAAGAAUAAGCACCGGCUAACUUCGUG